AAAAAAACAGAAAAAACCCAAAAAUAAAUUGCAUUUACACAAACCCCAAUUCAAUGAAUUGAUUCACACAAACCCUUCUCAACAACUCAGGAAACCAACAACAUAUUGAUUUUUUUUUUAGAUCUGAAUUCUUUGCAGCUACAUAUUGAUCUUAAAACCAAGACCUCGCUUUAUCUUCUUUCUCCUCCAUGGCAAAUAGCAAGAAAUGGAAUCACCAAAAAUUGCAAUCAGGAGGCUCACACACUCAAAAAUUGCAAUCAAUGUUAUGUGGAAAUCAGCCACGUGAAUUAAGCUUGAGAGGUGUUUGAUUGAUUCUUGUUUUGUAGCUUCAUACCCAUUAAUGGAUCGAACACGCCGUCGUCCGUCUCAAUGUCGCCGUCGUCCAUCUCCCACCGUUGAAGUUUCCGUCGUCGAGGAAAAGAUUGAAAUCGAUGUUGUGGUUGAAGAAGUUCCCAGUAUCACGAGAAUUGCGGCGAUUACCAUUGAAGUUUCAGGAAGAUGAAUGAUGGUGUAGAUUCUGUUGGUGCAGAUGAUGAGGAAUUUUGUUGUAGCUGAAACAUAAAAAUGGAUGAUUUUUUGGGAGAUGAAUUUUGUUGAGGAAGCAUAAAAAUAUUCAGCACUUUGAUUAUGUUCAGGAAGAUGGAUUCUGGUUCUUCUCUUCGCAAAAUUUAUUUUUUUUGAAAAAAAUGGCUUUUUUUAA